GACGAACGCUGGCGGCGUGCUUAACACAUGCAAGUCGAGCGGAAAGGCCCCUUUGGGGGUACUCGAGCGGCGAACGGGUGAGUAUCACGUGAGUAAUCUGCCCUUCACUUCGGGAUAGCUUCGGGAAACCGAAAUUAAUACCGGAUAUGACCACUCCAGGCAUCUGGUGGUGGUGGAAAGAUUUUUUGGUGGGGGAUGUGCUCGCGGCCUAUCAGCUUGUUGGUGGGGUAAUGGCCUACCAAGGCUUCGACGGGUAGCCGGCCUGAGAGGGUGACCGGCCACACUGGGACUGAGACACGGCCCAGACUCCUACGGGAGGCAGCAGUGGGGAAUAUUGGACAAUGGGCGGAAGCCUGAUCCAGCAACGCCGCGUGAGGGAUGACGGCCUUCGGGUUGUAAACCUCUUUCACCACCGACGAAGCGCAAGUGACGGUAGGUGGGGAAGAAGCACCGGCCAACUACGUGCCAGCCGCCGCCGUAACAC
rnacentral:rRNA from 1 species